UAGGGAAUCUUCCGCAAUGGGCGAAAGCCUGACGGAGCAACGCCGCGUGAGUGAUGAAGGUCUUCGGAUCGUAAAACUCUGUUAUUAGGGAAGAACAAAUGUGUAAGUAACUAUGCACGUCUUGACGGUACCUAAUCAGAAAGCCACGGCUAACUACGUGCCAGCAGCCGCGGUAAUACGUAGGUGGCAAGCGUUAUCCGGAAUUAUUGGGCGUAAAGCGCGCGUAGGCGGGUAAGCAAGUUAGAAGUGAAAUCCUGUAGCUCAACUACAGUAAGCUUUUAAAACUGCUCAUCUUGAGAUAUGGAAGGGAAAGUGGAAUUCCUAGUGUAGCGGUGAAAUGCGCAGAUAUUAGGAGGAAUACCGGUGGCGAAGGCGACUUUCUGGCCAUAAUCUGACGCUGAGGUACGAAAGCGUGGGUAGCAAACAGG
rnacentral:rRNA from 1 species